rnacentral:rRNA from 1 species
CCCAGACUCCUACGGGAGGCAGCAGUGGGGAAUAUUGCACAAUGGGGGAAACCCUGAUGCAGCGACGCCGCGUGGGUGAAGGAGUGCUUCGGCAUGUAAAGCCCUAUCGGCAGGGAAGAAGCAAGACGGUACCUGACUAAGAAGCCCCGGCUAACUACGUGCCAGCAGCCGCGGUAAUACGUAGGGGGCAAGCGUUAUCCGGAUUUACUGGGUGUAAAGGGAGCGUAGACGGUGAUGCAAGUCAGAAGUGAAAGCCCGGGGCUCAACUCCGGGACUGCUUUUGAAACUGUGUAACUGGAGUGCAGGAGAGGUAAGCGGAAUUCCUGGUGUAGCGGUGAAAUGCGUAGAUAUCAGGAGGAACACCAGUGGCGAAGGCGGCUUACUGGACUGUAACUGACGUUGAGGCUCGAAAGCGUGGGGAGCAAACAGGAUUAGAUACCCCGGUAAC